rnacentral:rRNA from 1 species
UAAUACGAAGGACCCGAGCGUUAUCCGGAUUUAUUGGGUUUAAAGGGUGCGUAGGCGGAUUAGUAAGUCAGUGGUGAAAGCCCAUCGCUUAACGGUGGAAUUGCCAUUGAUACUGCUAGUCUUGAGUAUGGUUGAGGUGGGCGGAAUGUGUCAUGUAGCGGUGAAAUGCUUAGAUAUGACCCAGAACACCAAUUGCGAAGGCAGCUCGCUAAACCAUAACUGACGCUGAUGCACGAAAGCGUGGGGAGCAAACAGGAUUAGAUACCCUGGUAGUCCACGCCCUAAACUAUGAUCACUCGUUGUUGGCGAUACACAGUCAGCGACUAAGGGAAACCAUUAAGUGAUCCACCUGGGAAGUACGACCGCAAGGUUG